rnacentral:rRNA from 1 species
GAUGAACGCUGGCGGCGUGCCUAAUACAUGCAAGUCGAGCGGAAGGACGAGGAGCUUGCGUCUCUGAUGUUAGGGGAAGGGGGGAGAAAAACGCGUGGAUAACCUACCUAUCAGACUGGGAUAACUUCGGGACACGGGAGAUAAUAGGGGAUAAGAUUUUGAAGCGCAGGGGUGAAAAGUGAAAGACGGUGUUGGUGGAAGGUAUAGAGGGAUACGAGCUGCAUUAGCUGGUUGGUAAGGUAACGGCUUACCAAGGCAACGAGGCAUAGCCGAGCUGAGAGGGUGAUCGGCCACACUAGAGCUUAGACACCGUCCAGACUCCUGCGGUAGGCAGCAGUAGGGUAUCUUCCGCAAUGGGCGAGAGCCUUACGGAGCAACGCCGCGUGAGUGAUGAAGGUCUUCGGAGCGGGAUACUCUGUUAUUAGGGAAAAACAGAUUUGUACGUAACUGUGCAGAUCGUGACGGUACCUAAUCAGAAAGCCCCGGCUAACUACGUG